AGAGUUUGAUCCUGGCUCAGGAUGAACGCUAGCGGCAGGCCUAAUACAUGCAAGUCGAACGGGCCCGGGUAGCAAUACUUGGGUUAGUGGCGCACGGGUGCGUAACGCGUAUGCAACCUACCUUUUAUUGGGGGAUAGCCCGUCGAAAGACGGAUUAAUACCGCAUACCACUCUUUGAGGGCAUCUGAAGAGAGUGAAAGCUAAGGCGAUAAAAGAUGGGCAUGCGUGACAUUAGCUGGUUGGUAGAGGUAACGGCUCACCAAGGCGACGAUGUCUAGGGGUUCUGAGAGGAUGAUCCCCCACACUGGUACUGAGAUACGGACCAGACUCCUACGGGAGGCAGCAGUAGGGAAUAUUGGGCAAUGGAGGCAACUCUGACCCAGCCAUGCCGCGUGCAGGAUGAAGGCCUUCUGGGUUGUAAACUGCUUUUAUCUAGGAAGAAAACACCCCUGCGGGGGGAACUGACGGUACUAGGUGAAUAAGCACCGGCUAACUCCGUGCCAGCAGCCGCGGUAAUACGGAGGGUGCAAGCGUUGUCCGGAUUUAUUGGGUUUAAAGGGUGCGUAGGCGGCCUGAUAAGUCAGUGGUGAAAGCCCACAGCUCAACUGUGGAACUGCCAUUGAUACUCUCAGGCUUGAGUACAGACGAGGUAGGCGGAAUUGAUGGUGUAGCGGUGAAAUGCAUAGAUACCAUCAAGAACACCGAUUGCGAAGGCAGCUUACUAGGCUGUAACUGACGCUGAGGCACGAAAGCGUGGGGAGCGAACAGGAUUAGAUACCCCGGUAGUCC
rnacentral:rRNA from 1 species